GCAGCUCCAGAUCCAACUGGUCACUCCUGCCUGCUUGAAGAAGUCCCUCCUCAGAGGAGAUGAUAAGAUCCCAGCCUUCAUCUUCAAAUCUGAAAAAAUUAACAGAAAAUGUGAGGCAGAGCUAACCUCCACUUACAAAAGGAACUUUUUUUUUUCUUUUGGCACUGGUGAUUGAACCCAGGGCUGCGUAACCACUGAACCAUAUCCCCAGCCUGCCUGCUUUCUUUCUUUCAUUUGAGUAUCUACAUUUCUUAGGGUCUCUCUAAAUUGCUUCAAUCCUCCUACCUCAGCCUCCAAAGUUACUGGGAUUAUAGACAUGAGCCACUACAACCUGCUUCCUGACCCUUUUUGACACAAGGUCUCACUAUGUUGCUUAGGGUCUCACUAAAUUGCUGAGACUCUUCUCAAACUUGUGAUUCUCCUGUCUCAGCUCCUGAGUCUCUGGGAUUAUAGAUGUGUGCUGUUAGGUUGUUGGUGGCGACUUAGUGGCAACUUAGAACAAAGCAGCCCACGUGGGAAAAGAACAUCAAUCAGAUGUCGGCAGAAAUACCUAUCAACAGCCAGAUCUCCUGACUAAUACCUGUCAAUCAGCAGGACCCCCUGGCCAAUCCUGGAGUUCAGCCAACUCCCCUGACCAACUCCAAAGGGUCAAGGGACCCUAAAAACACCUUUUCCUGUCCCAAGCCCUUCCCUUCCUGCUGUAAACCCCAUAAAAGUCCAGUCCAGUCGAGCUUCCACGCGGUUUCUCCUCAGACCUUUCUUCUGUCCCCUCUGUGGGUCCGAUCGAGUUCCGCCUGGGAGUGAUAUCUCAAUAAAGCCUCGUUCAGCGGCCCUUUUAAAUCUGCCUCCUUUGGUCGCUGCCCGCCUCGCCUGAUCUGACAUGUGCCAUCAUGCCGUACUGAAACUUAUUAGUUUGAAGACAGAAUCUCUGUAUCAAAGAUGCAGGGCCACCGCCAGCGACAAGUCAGAAGGAGCAAGGAGGAGAGAGCGUGCACCCCCCCCCCCAGUUCCGAGGACUCUGCCUGCCGGCAGCAGCCUCCAGCCUUCAGGGCCUCAGGCUCUCCGCUGGAGCUAUUGGGAUAGCAGCUGAGGGCCGGUGAGCUACUGAGGGGCCUCUGGGGGCAGGAGGCACUGUGGGGAGACACUGUGAGGGCACCAGGCU
rnacentral:lncRNA from 1 species